ACGGCCUGAACCUCUGAUUGAUUUCCUGAGGCGAGCAAUGAGUCAGCCAGAGGAGCACAGGUGAAGGCAAUUCAGCUGUGCUGCUGGAAGGGGUGGAGCCUGGUUCCACCCCUCCUAGACCCAUUUAAGAGUUGGCUACAAGUGGGGAAGGAUCUCUUCUGGAGAUCCCCUUUUCUGGUGUUUUUUGUGGGUGAGCCUAGCAUAAGGCUAUUCAGUGUUGCAAGGAAGCAGCAGAUCCAUUCCACUUUGGAGAUGAUGAUACUGAUUAGGCUAUUGCUGGUAGAUGUAGUGAAGAAUUUUUCUCUUGCUGUUGGAAGCAUUGAAAUAUAUGUCUAAUAUACAAGAGCAUUUGAAAAAUCUUUGAAUGCAACAGUGGAACUUGCUAGAUUCAGUGGAGAUCGAAACCAACAGAGACAGGAAGUUUGGCAUAUCUU